rnacentral:lncRNA from 13 species
CACGUUAGAAUGGCUUGAGGGAAAAAAUAACCACUCCUUUCUGCUCCUGAUAAAUGCAGCCAGCUUUGCUGGUCUGGGUUUCUUAAAUGAUCUGCAUUUACAGCAGUAUCCAUGACCCAGAGAGAGUAUCAGUGUCAGGAAUCUGCCAGUGGGAAAGUGAUUUGAAGCAGCUCUGGAGUUCAAAUGGCCACAAGCGCAAGUGCCUGCUCUGCUGUGCGCUUGCCUCCGGAAAGAGGCCAAGUCUCUCAGAACCUUUGCUGUAUCAGCCAUGCUACACCCUGAGGAUUUGGAGCUUGAGCAGUGCGAGGGAUGCAGGUGCCGUCUGCUGAGCUAUGGAAGAUUGGAGCAGGAGGAACCUGGAGAAGGCCCUGGACAGAGGCAGCCUGGCUUGGCACAAGGUGCUUCUUGGCAGAGCAUCGGUGACACUUCCUGCCACAGAUAAACACUGACUUAUCUUGAAUGUGUUGGUCAAGCAACUUGUUGCGGCACAUUAAAAUUCCUUUUCUAUGGAGAAAAAAGAAGGACAACACUCUAUCUGCUCUAAUUUUCUGCAGAUAAUUUGGUGGUAGUAAAUUCUCUCAAAGUAAGAACACAGAUGUAACCAAGAGCUGGGUCAUGCUGGGAUCAUGGUGUUGAGGGCCGCUCUUGCUUGUGAAGCUGUAUUUGAGGAAUCAUUAGGAUGCUCCUUGUUGGGUGGGGGGCAGUUCCAGAAUGUACUAUCACAUUGGGAAGUGGGUUUGAUUGCUUUUGGGGUCUUACCAGCCUUGGGGGUCUGUGAUUCAACAGUUUAGCCACUGAGAAAAUGAUUCUUUUUUUUGAGAUGGAGUCUCAAUCUGUUGCCCAGGCUGGAGUGCGAUGGUGCAAUCUCGGCUCACUUCAACCUCCGCCUCCAAGGUUCAAGCAAUUCUCCUGCCUCAGUUUCCUGAGUAGCUGGGGUUACAGGAGCCUGCCACCACGCCCAGAUAAUUUUUGUAUUUUUAGUUGAGAUGGAAUUUCAUCAUGUUGGCCAGGUUGGUCUCAAACUCCUGGCCUCAGGUGGUCCACUGACUUCCGCCUCCCAAAGUACUGGGAUUAAAGGUGUGAGCCACUGCACCCAGCUGAGAAGGUGUCUUUAAAGUAAACAAAAGGCUGAUGAUAUUGGGUUAGCAGAACUUACUAACAUUAAUAUCACUAAAGUUGGUAUACAGCCUCCCCACUGCUAAAUUUGGCUGCGGCUGGCUUUUAAUAAAAAUAAAAUAAAAUAAACA